AACGGAUCUCUUGGCUCUCGCAUCGAUGAAGAACGCAGCGAAUUGCGAUACGUAUUACGACUUGCAGACGUGAAUCAUCAAUCUUUGAACGCACAUUGCGCCCUGGGGUAUUCCCCAGGGCAUGCCUGGGUGAGCGUCAGCAUUCCUCAGACCCCCGGGCCUGGUUUUGUCGCUCAACACCACAGUCAAGAUUUCCUUCUCUUGACCUCAUCCAGGUAGGACUACCCGCUGAACUUAAGCAUAUCAAUAAGCGGAGGAAAAGAAACCAACAGGGAUUGCCUCAGUAACGGCGAGUGAAGCGGCAAAAGCUCAAAUUUGAAAUCCUUCGGGAGUUGUAAUUUGAAGGCGCAACGGAACGCCAAAAGUCUUUCGAAGUCCAUUGGAACAUGGCGCCAAGGAGGGUGAGAGCCCCGUGCGAAAGAACGUUUUGGCCCUAUUCUGCUGCGCCAAAGAGUCGAGUUGUCUGGGAAUGCAGCUCAAAGUGGGUGGUAAACUCCAUCUAAAGCUAAAUACCGGCGAGAGACCGAUAGCGAACAAGUACAGUGAUGGAAAGAUGAAAAGCACUUUGAAAAGAGAGUGAAAAAGUACGUGAAAUUGCUGGGAGGGAAGGGCUUGCAAGCAGACACGGGGAUUUUUUUCCUCGGGCCAGCAUCAGGUGGGAGGGCGCCAACA
rnacentral:rRNA from 1 species